rnacentral:lncRNA from 1 species
GUAUGUGUUCGUAGGAGCGACCAGGAGAAUAGGGGAGGGAGCCAAACCUAGUUCUUCAAGAAUCUUCAAAUUGAAGCUCAAUUCAGGCCCUAAAUCGAUGCAUGAACACAUAAAAACGAUCACCAAGCUUAGGGGAUCAUGAGUUUAACGCUUAACAAGCUAGGUGGGAGCUUGUGGAGGAAGCGGGUCAAACGAAUCAAGAACGAAAAGAAAAGCGUGGUUUGGAUGCAAGGUAAGUAAAAGCUUACACCCUUUUAUAUUAUACAUCAGUUGCGUGCAAUGAAAAUGAAUAGAGAAAAAUCCGUAAUUGAAUUUUGAUGUUCCGACGUGAAUAAUAUGGGUCGGAACAAGUGAAAGUGCUGAAAACCAUGAUGGUUGUAAAAAAAGGGGGUAAAAUAGUAAAUUAGUCAUGAGUUUUGACACGAUAUUUGACCAGAAGUUGGUUUACAACAUAAAGGAUGUUUAGUAAUUUUUAUAGAUUUUUAUAAAGUCGUUUGACGAGGUUUUCGCGGAUGUUUUGUCAAUAAAUCAGUUGUUGACAACAACAGUUCCGCUACUUGCAGAAAUUAUUUCGAGGUCUUAACCAUCGUGUUUUGACACGAUAUUUGACCAGAAGUUGGUUUACAACAUAAAGGAUGUUUAGUAAUUUUUAUAGAUUUUUAUAAAGUCGUUUGACAAGGUUUUCGCGGAUGUUUUGUCAAUAAAUCAGUUGUUGACAGCAACAGUUCCGCUAUUUGCAGAAAUUAUUUCGAGGUCUUAACCAUCGAGUUUUGACACGAUAUUUGACCAAAAGUUGGUUUACAAUAUAAAGGAUGUUUAGUAAUUUUUAUAGAUUUUUAUAAAGUCGUUUGACGAGGUUUUCGCGGAUGUUUUGUCAAUAAAUCAGUUGUUGACAGAAACACUUCCGCUACUUGCAGAAAUUAUUUCGAGGUCUUAACCAUUGAGUUUUGACACGAUAUUUGACCAGAAGUUGGUUUACAACAUAAAGGAUGUUUAGUAAUUUUUAUAGAUUUUUUUAAAGUGGUUCGACGAGAUUUUCGCGGAUGUUUUGUUAAUAAAUUAGUUGUUGACAGCAACAGUUCCGUUACUUGCAGAAAUUAUUUCGAUGUCUUAACUAUCGAGUUUUGACAUGAUAUUUGGCCAGAAGUUGUUCAACAACAUAAAUAAUGUUUGGUAAGUUUUAUACAUUUUAGACAUAAGCUUUUUUGGGUCAAGUGCCUAUAAACGGGUCUUUUCCGUAAAACAACCAACCGAAAUGUAGAAUCCGGGAAAAUCGGUCAAAUAUACUAAAUCCACCACGAGUAUAGUUGUGGUUAAAUGUAACUAGAUAAUUCAAAUUUGGGAAAAUGAUGGGUGAAAAGAAUGAGCGAAAUUUAAACUUAAAAGUUUAAAUUCUCUAAACGGGUCAAAAUGAAUUACGCGCAUAACUUGGGUAUUGGUUGCGUAAUUCACAAAAGUUAAAAAUCUGAAAUAAAGAUUUUGAAUUAAAUACUUUGGUGUAUGAUUUAUGAUUAACUAGAAACAAGUGUGUUUGAUUAAAUCAUAAACGGGUCAAAAGUGUUAAAAAGGGAUUUCAAGCCGAGAACUUGAAAUCUGAAUUUUUGAAGUAGUCUAAUAUCAGGUAGUGACUCCAUGAGAUGGAGAAUUAAAUUUCGAACGCGUAGGAAAAAGACUCGGGUAAAACGGACUUGUAAAUAAAAAGUUAUGACACUUUAAAGUUCGUUUUACGACUAAAACUAUAACUGGACAGACAUGCAGGUUCCAGAGACGGACCUGCUGGAAAAUGGUUUCCCCCGCGCCACGCGACGGAGGACAUAGCAUGGGGCGUGACACGCGACAACCGUCGCGACACGCUACAGGUUUAGUGAACGCCGUCGCGACACGCGGCGGCUUAAAAUUUUGGAAAUUUUUGAUGUUCUUGUUGUUGGCUUAUUUUGACCCACAAACCGGUUCAAUAAUGUUUAUAAACGCCUAAUGACUAACUCAUUUCAUGUUUUAUGAAAUGUAGGUAUAUUAUACAACAACGGAAGACGAUCAAGCUCGAAGAAGAACCGAACACAUGAAAAAGAAGCUUCCGCACAUUGUUUCGUCAUAAAUUUUUAAAUGACAAAUCCUUUUACAUCAUGUUGUAUUACUUUUAAUGUAAAAGUUUUAAAUAAACCCGUAUUUUUAUAAGUAUGUGCUAUCGGAAUUAUGCAUUAGUUACCGAUAAUUAUACGAAAAUCUAAAAUAAAUAGACAGGGUGUUACAAGUUGGUAAUCAGAGCUCAUGGUUAAAGAACAAAGUGUGUUCGGUUCGUGGCUUGAUCGCAAAUCUGGUAAGUACAUGUAUGUUAAUGGUUUAGCAUGUUAAAGUGUUGUAAAGAACACAUAGGGUUAUUGCUUAAUACACGUUACCCCAAUUAAAAUGAUUGAUAUAGUUAAUGAAAUUACGUGCGUUGACACGUAUAACAGAAAGCCUUGUAUUAUAAUACGGACGAUUAUUGAUGUUGACAUUACUUACCUUUGUGAAUGUUUUAAUUGAAGGACACUCGCAUCCGAAAAUAGCGGGAGUUUAAUAAAUUACGGAUCUGACGAAGGAACGGUCCAAAGUAUGACAAGCAGAGCAUGCUCAUCAAGGACCUAAAUCGCGUAACGAUCGCGAAUAAGUUAAUGGCAAGGAAAGCCCGUAAGGGCAAGCAUUUACCAGGUGCACUUUUUAAUUUUAUUGCACGAAUAGUAAUAUGAAACAAAUAUAUAGAGUCUGACUGUUGCAUAUGUAGGUUAAAAACUUGGAAAAACCUGAAUAGAAUACCUAUUCAGGAUAUUGUUUCCAAGAAAAAAAUAAAUAGAGGCAUUACUUACAUAGGGCGUGAUGUGAAAACUAUAAAAAGGCCAUGUGUGUCAUGUGUUAAUCGCUUACUCUGGCCAAGUAAGUAGUGGCAUAUGAUACCAUGAACUUCUUAUAGUGGAUGCAUUUACGUCCAAUGUAGUAAGGGCAGGGUGAAUGGGACGAACUAAAAAAGGUACCUAAAUAAAUCAAACGGGCAAGAUGUUUGAUAAUAAACGUAAAACGCAAGUCGGAUGAUGGAAGCAUAUUACGUUAGAGUAACGAGCCCGAGAGAAGGGACAAGGAUCAAAGUAAAUGAAAAUACAGAUCGAUUAAUAGGAUGCUAAGGCAUAGAGAUAAAAGUUUGACUGUCACAAGUGAUGAAAUUCACACGUACAAGUCAAAU